rnacentral:lncRNA from 1 species
CUGCACACUGCAUCAUUUUAAACGUUUGUUUUUAUUUUUACGACACAAAGUUAAGAUACUUAAGAGGGGAAGGUUUUGCACACGUUAAAAUGUUUUAUCCCCACCCAACUUUUGUCAGUACAAACUUAAGCUACAAAGACCAUAUUAGUUGUUAAUAGAACUAGUUUGUCUGUUGGUUCGUUAUAUUUGAAAUAUGUGGCAUAAGUAAAUCAUCUAGUAUGUUAUACUGUCCAGUACUUUUGGUGAUUCCUUUUAUUCUUUACAUUCAACAUGUUCAAUAGAAUAUGUGGACAGGCAGACCAUAGAGGAAAAAACUAAUCUUGUCCAAAUCAAAUAAUUUUUGGCAGAGUAUUAAAAGAUUGUUUUCUUCUUUUUUUUAUGAAGAAAGAUAAUUUCAAAAACUAUUAUAACAUAAACAAAAAAGAUUUAGGGG